UGGGGAAUUUUGCACAAUGGGCGGAAGCCUGAUGCAGCGACGCCGCGUGGGGGAUGAAGGCCUUCGGGUUGUAAACUCCUUUCGACAGGGACGAAGCUUUUGUGACGGUACCUGUAUAAGAAGCACCGGCUAACUACGUGCCAGCAGCCGCGGUAAUACGUAGGGUGCGAGCGUUGUCCGGAAUUACUGGGCGUAAAGAGCUCGUAGGUGGUUUGUCGCGUCGUCUGUGAAAUUCCGGGGCUUAACUCCGGGCGUGCAGGCGAUACGGGCUGACUUGAGUGCUGUAGGGGAGACUGGAAUUCCUGGUGUAGCGGUGCAAUGCGCAGAUGUCAGGAGGAACACCGUUGGAGAAGGCAGGUCUCUGGGAAGUAACUGACGCUGAGGAGCUAAAGCAUGGGUAGCGAACAGG
rnacentral:rRNA from 1 species